CUUAUUAUAGUUGAACUACAACGAUGGUUUUUCAUGCCGUUGGUUUUGGUGGCGAGCCAAAUAAUAAGU
rnacentral:tRNA from 1 species